CCUACGGGCGGCAGCAGUGGGGAAUAUUGCACAAUGGGGGAAACCCUGAUGCAGCGACGCCGCGUGAGUGAAGAAGUAUUUCGGUACGUAAAGCUCUAUCAGCAGGGAAGAAAAUGACGGUACCUGACUAAGAAGCCCCGGCUAACUACGUGCCAGCAGCCGCGGUAAUACGUAGGGGGCAAGCGUUAUCCGGAUUUACUGGGUGUAAAGGGAGCGUAGACGGCAUCGCAAGUCUGGAGUGAAAUCCCAUGGCUUAACCAUGGAACUGCCUUGGAAACUGUGCAGCUAGAGUGCAGGAGAGGUAAGCGGAAGUCCUAGUGUAGCGGUGAAAUGCGUAGAUAUUAGGAGGAACACCAGUGGCGAAGGCGGCUUACUGGACUGUAACUGACGUUGAGGCUCGAAAGCGUGGGGAGCAAACAGGAUUAGAUACCCGGGUAGUC
rnacentral:rRNA from 1 species